rnacentral:rRNA from 1 species
GACGAACGCUGGCGGCGUGCUUAACACAUGCAAGUCGAACGGAAAGGCCCUGCUUUUGUGGGGUGCUCGAGUGGCGAACGGGUGAGUAACACGUGAGUAACCUGCCCUUGACUUUGGGAUAACUUCAGGAAACUGGGGCUAAUACCGGAUAGGAGCUCCUGCUGCAUGGUGGGGGUUGGAAAGUUUCGGCGGUUGGGGAUGGACUCGCGGCUUAUCAGCUUGUUGGUGGGGUAGUGGCUUACCAAGGCUUUGACGGGUAGCCGGCCUGAGAGGGUGACCGGCCACAUUGGGACUGAGAUACGGCCCAGACUCCUACGGGAGGCAGCAGUGGGGAAUAUUGCACAAUGGGCGGAAGCCGGAUGCAGCAACGCCGCGUGCGGGAGGACGGCCUUCGGGUUGUAAACCGCUUUCGCCUGUGACGAAGCGUGAGUGACGGUAAUGGGGAAAGAAGCACCGGCUAACUACGG